ACAAAUGGAAAAUGAAAGGUGGAUGGCUAGAAAACCGGUGACGUCGACCGCCAAACGCUGCCCGAACAAGGAGAAGGACCAACUUCGGCCGAAGUCGUGACAGUAUCACUUCAGCGGAAAAUCCAAACAAGAGCUCUAUGUUCUCGGGCAAUAGCUUGGUGUGGAUAUUUGCACACCGUCUAGUGUCAAGGGAACUUGCUGGAUCCCCCAUGUCCACAGAGCCCUCAAAGUUUUCCUGCGGCAUGAACAAGACAAGGACCCUGCCACUGACGAAGGCCAGUACUCCGUUGACUGCAGCACAUGGAGCACCUGGCCGUAGCAUCAACAACAGCGGUAGUUCAAGGGCGGGCAAAGAAGGUAAGUUUUACACAGGAAAUGUAAUACCACACUAGUUUUAAAAAAUAGGUUCUAGACUCAAAUGAACUUUCAGAAUCAAGUAAUUGACAGGUUAGUGUUUAUUUACUCACUACUUAACAGAUAAAGCAGGAAAUGGAGAAUGCACUCUUUUGUGUAUUCUGUCAUUUUCUCUCAGACAUGUUUGAGGAGCUAUCCUCACUUAGCCUCACCCUGCAAAGGAAUGACCUGAUCCUCCCCCAAGCCACGUCAGAGUUGGUGAAGAUAGUGAACAGACUGGAAGCACUAAAGCUUAGGGCAAAGGCAGGAGGCAUGCUGGAGAAGAUCCAGACCAUGAUCAGCAGCAGGGUGAUGAGAGGAGAUUCCAGGUGUGUUAGGAUGAGAGCUUGUUAGGAUGUAAGAGAAAUCGAUGAUUAAAAUCGAUGAUUAAGACAGAUUCUCAGUGUGAGAAUCAAUGUAUUUGUUGCCCAAUAGAACGAUUUGGCAACGAAUGCAGUGGAGAAGUCUUUAAUUUUUUUUAUGGGAGACAGACAAAUGGCCAGACAUUUCAUUGUGUGUUGGUGUGUGUGUCUCUCUCUGUGUGAGUGUUAUUUCUUUUGAAGGGAAUAACACUGAAGGGGAAUCUGAAUGGCUUCACGGACCUCACCAAUCCUCAGCUGAAGUAGCACAUGAAGGCCGCCAUCAACAUCGGCGUGGAAGAUCUCAAAGCCAGGUUUGGUGGUUUGCUGAAGGAUGAGGGUGUCCAGACCCCAGUGGAGUCUUUCAGAGUGCUAAACCCUGACACAUGGCCACAAGACCAGGCCAGGCUUCUCACCUUUGGCGAUGAUGGUGUGGUAGACCUGAUGAGGCAUUUCAAGGAGCCUUUAGAGAGAUCAGCGUCCAACAUGGCUGCAAUCCAGGAUGAGUAGCAGGGGCUGAAAAUCCUGGUCACCCACAAUUUCAAGGACAAGUCCUACAGUAGCCUGUGGGAGACCAUGUUGACAAAGGACCCCAACAGGCACAAUUACAAGAACAUACUGGAGUUGGUGCAGUUUAUGCUGCCCAUUUCAGCCACCCAGUGUGAGCAAGGCUUCUCUGAGCAGAACCGGAUUAAGAAUUCGACAAGAAGCUGCCUUGGGUUCUCCACCACCGAAGACCUGAUGAGGAUCAGCCUGGAGGAGCCGUCUGUAGAGGAAUUCGAUCCCACUCCUGCCGUGGACCGCUGGCUGACCUAUAAGCGUGCCAGACAGCCAACAUACAAAAGCAGCUGGACAACUGAUAUCCUUUGUGUUUAGUAGGCAUGGGUCAAUGUGUGAUUUUGGUGGUAUGUGCUGUUGCACAGAUGUGUGUCCCUUAGUACACGCACACACAGGCAGUAUAAAUAUGUAUGUAAUAAAUUGUUUGUUAAAAACUUCUUAAGGCUAGGCUUCCCGUUAGCGGGACAACUUCCGGUGAAUCUGGAGG